rnacentral:rRNA from 1 species
GUCUAUGGCCAUGCCGCCCUGGACAAACCCAAUCUCGUCUGAUCUCAGAAGCUAAGCAGGGUUGGGCCUGGUUAGUACUUGGAUGAAAGGCCACCUAAAUAAGGGAUUGUAAACU